rnacentral:lncRNA from 1 species
AAGAUGCAGUUAAAUGAAAAAGCAGCAGCUUCCCCAAUCUGAUUCAUAAUUUAUCACGGCCGAGAGUUUCCAAGGGGUCUGGAUUCUCACAUCAACAGGACAGUCCGUAACAGGCGGCCCGACCCUGGGCACUAAACGUGGGGGACGCAGACGAGCUUACGUCGGCCGCACACCCACACGCACACAGCAACUCACACAGACGCCUGAGCCCACACAGUCACGUGCGACUGACAGAGCCUCGUCUGAGAAUUAAGCUCGGAGCAGCCGUGUGAUUCGGCAGCUCCACCCUCAGCUGGAAGCAGGCGUUCACACAAACACGUGUGCAGGAGCAUUUGCAGCAGCAGCAGCGGGGAGCCACCCAGCGCCACCAACGGUGAGGACGAAUGAACAGGAUGUGCUCCUCCAUGCACGGGAGCGACAAGUGACGAGGAAAGGGACCCGGCGCCCACGCAGGCUACGGAGUGAUGAACCUGGAAGACAUCGUGCUCCGUGGAUAAGCCAGACACGAAAGGCCGUUCUUAAUAGAAAAACUGUGUCACUGGCUGGAGUUGGCUGAAAUCCAAUACAUUGGCGUGAAGUGUCUCUCAUAACCUCUCAAGUGAGUAAGAAAAGCUGCACAAAGAUGGAGCAGUUAAACCCCAAUGCCAGGCAAUUCCGUUUAUGGUCAAAGUGUAAUGAGAGCUGACCAAUAACUGCCCUCCGGAGCCCACGCUGCCGUUAAGAGCUGCAGGCUCUCCUUUCUAGACUCAUGCUCUCCCCCAGGCCAGCGUAUCUGUUUCUGCACCUGCUGCCCAGGAGGCCAGGAGUCCAGAGAGGCUGGACAACCUCUACCUUCUCUUUGUGCCCCCUGUGGUGAUGGUCAGUGGCAGGACGUCCAGGCACAAAAUUGGGUGAGAGAUGCCAUGGAGACACCUGUGUCCACGGGAGAGCGGAGUCCAGGACACACAGGUCUUCAGGUUACCUCAAUGUGGUGAGUUCGCAACAGGACAGGGCUGAGUUGAAAAGCACCCGUGGGCACUAGAAAAAAUCAGCCCUUCAUGGAACUCACCAUGGGCCCAGCACAGGACCCCAGACCUGAGUGUGCCUCAGUCCUGGCCGGUACGGUCCUUAGAGCUUAUGAAACCAGUGUCCACGCAGGGUGACCCUCCGUCACAAGGGAACACGUGGGUUCAUCAUGAACCUACCAACCUGCUGUCUGACGUGACCCCGUGCAUUCGACGCCAGAGAAAAUCUGCCAGUGUUGAUUAAAUGUCAGAACAUCAAAUGCUGCUGCUGCUGACCUGCAGAACCUAAAUUAAUGAGAAAAAGACAUCAAUAAAGCGAGUUGAAG